UACGUAGGGGGCAAGCGUUGUCCGGAAUCAUUGGGCGUAAAGCGCGUGUAGGCGGUUCGGUAAGUCCGCUGUGAAAGUCGAGGGCUCAACCCUCGAAUGCCGGUGGAUACUGUCGGGCUUGAGUACGGGAGAGGCGAGUGGAAUUCCUGGUGUAGCGGUGAAAUGCGCAGAUAUCAGGAGGAACACCGAUUGCGAAGGCAGCUCGCUGGAACGUUACUGACGCUGAGACGCGAAAGCGUGGGGAGCAAACAGG
rnacentral:rRNA from 1 species